GAUAUUUCCGCUGGCUUGGAUCGUAAUCACUAUUGAUAUACGAGUUUUGCACACGACGAACAACUGCGCAUCUAACGUCGCCAGACACGAAUCACGCAACUGCGUUCUAUAUAUUCUUUUAGAAAUUUUCGCUGCUUCAUACGGCACGCAUUUCGCAACCAUUUCGUAACGUGUCAACAGUUUUCUGUCAGUCUAUGAAUGAAUAGACGGAAAUUGUGUAUUUGUUCCGACGAGUUCGUACGUUUCGAAGCAUGUAUCCGACACAUGGAUAAAACAAAAUUUAACGAUCGAUCUUCGUCAUUUUCAUCAUUUUCGUAACCUGAAACUGAUAAGAUUUACUAGGUUACCAUGACACCAAGUUAACGAACGCUCGAAGCAUAACAUUCCAACCGAGUUUCGUCGAUAUUCCCCAGAGUAAUUUUCUGCAAGGACAAAAGUGGUGUGCUAUGCCGGGGAACAUCUUCGUCAUUUCCGGGACGGUUAUACAAAGCCACGUGUAUCGAUCAGAAUGAUAUUGGGCAGUUUGAAUAAUACUACCAACAAUCGUAAAAUAUAUAUAAAUUCAUCUUGUAACCAUCCUAGACGAAUUUCACUGAAAGAGAGAAGCGAGAGGAAAACGAAGGAAAGACUAAAGGCAAACAAAAUGAAAGGAGAAAAAUAAGUGAUCUCAUUGGACCUACUAUAGUAAGUUAAUAAACUAAUCACCUAGCGAGUUCAAUUAGAUCAGAGAUUAUCUCGGUGUUCAUCGUUGCGAUUGCGCGAAAUCCAAUUUAAUGUAAAUGCAUUCAACACGAAAUCCAAUUAGAAGAUGCACCACACCAAACCGACAAAAAGUAUUUUCAAAUUUGUAAUAUCUAACAAGAUCCAUUUCAAAUGUAUAUAUAAUCUAUUGAACUACAAAAGAAAAUACUCAUUUUAUCAAAAAUAUUGACCGUUGAUGACAAUUCGUCUAGUAAAUAUUCGGCACACAAUUUUUAUGAUUUUGAAAAUCAUUUACAAGUGCCAUUUUCGUAAAAUAAUGCAACUUAUUGUUAGUAUAAUCACCUAUUUUAUAAAACAACAUGGUUCUAGGUAUAUUUGCUUGUUGUUAUUUCGCAUGAACCACGCGAUUCUAUUCUAUAUAUUAUGCCUAUUAUCUUAGACGUUGCCUUCAGACAUUGUCCAGGAAGAAACGAAACAUUGUGUUACCUUUGAGAUGAUCGUAUUUUUAUGUGAUAAUUGUCGCUUUUUUUUUAACUCUUUCACUGCUGAAUAUAUAUCCCAAGACAAGACGAUCAGGGUUAAAUAAAUACGGUGGGCACGCAUUUCACAAAACGUAUUACGUAUUACGGUUUCAGCAGUGAAAGCUUAAUGUCCUCGACCAUGAAUACAAGAUAAAUACUCUGUAUGAGUCAAUUUUAUUAUAUUAAUAGCAAAUACCAAAUUACGAUUUGUCAAACUAUCUUAUUUUUCAAACUAUCUAAUUAACUAUUUACGUUAAAAUUAUCGUUCAAUUUUCUUUCUCAACUGAACCUCCAAAAUCCACCUAUAAGCUCAACUAUCUAAUAAUAAAUAUAGCCAUUUUUGAACACGAACGAAAUUUCCAUGCUAAAAUAGUACGAAAACUAAAUAUAAAUGCACGCUAAAAGUGCGAAAACAAUCUCCUCUCCACAUUAACAAAGACUAAGAAAAUCAAUUGACCUAGCUGAUUUAGCAAAAUUCAAGAUCCAUCUGCUCUAAUCGAUUAACCCCAAUUUUCGUACCUAAAUCUAUAUCUAAAGUCAAUCGUUCGGUCGACGAUUAACAAGCAAACGUAAUCUAUCAUGCUAUCUCGUUUUCGACCAAAAGACCGAAAUACGGGAAACAGCCGUAGCUCGUAGCCAAAGUCACACAAGUAUACUUUUACGAACUUUCCUAAUUAUUUUUUCACGCUUAAGUCACCCCUAUAAUCGUGUUCCUGUUUCACUAAGUACAUAAAACGUCGUACACCAUACUCGUUCUCCGCGUUACACACGGGCUGGUACGUUUCAUGGCCUGGCGAACACGUAAACGCACAGAAAUCCUGGCAGAUUUCGCGUCAGCUCGUCGAAACGAGAUUCAGUCGGCUAGAUUCCUCGCGACGAUAAAAUCUAUGUGUCCGAACACACGCGAUGGAGAUAAUUAUUCCUUGCUUGUAGAGAUGAUUACGUUUCUAUUCAUCGAGUGUUGCUUUUUCUCGAACGGUUCUGAUUAUUAGAUACAUUGAUUUACAAAGCGAUGUAUGCAUCAAGCGGUAAGUUUCGAAGGAAAUAUUACCGGUAAUAAUUUCAUGUCAAACACAGAUAUUUUGGUCGGUGUUAUUCGCUAUAAGCGUGCUCGUGUCACCGCGUGCCACAGUUAUAGCUCACGCGAUGUUUUCUUAAAGUUGACGACGACGCGAAAUAAAAUUCUGACUUACGUAUCGUUUGACACCACGACGAACAAUAUAGGUCAAUUGGAAAUUGUCGUUUUUCAAGUAUCAGUACUGGUGUGUACCAUUGUUUCUACAUACUCUUAACUUGCACAUCACCUCUUUCACUGAUCAAAAAUUUCCAUCAUUAAAUUAGUUUUCAUUCCUCAAAAUUUCAUCAGAAAAUCAGUUCUAUGAGGCUAGCCCAACAACGAGAGAACCUGCAUCCUGACAUAAUUCAAAAUUGAUAACCAAUCGUAAUGUCUGAGGGUAGAUAAUAUCACCCAGCAACAGUUAUAUAUAUUUUAAAUUAAAUCCUCCAUCAUUUGACCAACUAUGUCAUUCUCGUUUUAAAGACCUGCCACUUAUUAACUAAUAAGUAACAAGUGUCACAUAAUCCUAAUCGUCAAAUCGACGAUGCAUGGUUCCAUAUUUUCCCUGUAUCUCGCUUUGUACUACCUUAAUUUACAAUGGUGAUCAUUUUUACUUGAAAUAGUUCCCGUGCAAUAUACAUACGUAGAUUAUAUUCAUUCGCAUCGUACAAUUCGAAUAUCUAACGAACUAACACAAUCUCACAUCGAUUCCACCGAGUCAAAAAGCUCUAAAUACGAAUUGUAGAGAUGAAGCUCUCUAUAGUGAGGUGGAGUGAGAGAAUCGAAAGACAGAAUCUGUUCGAAACGCGAAGCCGUACAACGCAUUUCCAGAUGUGACUAGAAAUAUCGUUUUCCUCCACAACACGAGCCACGAAGAUUGCUCUACAUUCCACCUUCCAUGCUAUCGUUUCUCUUUAUGUUACACGUAGGGAUUUAGGACAUUUCUUCUGCACCAAGUUGGCGUAGAUGCGGUGAAUGUAAGUUUUCUCUCGAUAAAUAUUUACUGAAAACAUUUGUGCCUUAUGUAUCAGAGUAUCGUAUAAAGACUAAAAACGAAAACAGUAAAACUGAUGGAUGCUUAAAAAGAAUUAGAUGCAACGAGAAAAACGUUUGAUAAGCGGAGAUGUGCUUUCAGAAAGAGAUAUAAUGGUAACUAGACCUGUUUGUCUCAGCAGAAGUUAUAUUAUAAGGGAAGAUCUUUGCUGCAUCGAAUCUCGUGACGUUUUUAAAAGAUUGUAUGCAAAAAGAUAGAAAGGUAUCAGUGAUAUAUCGUUAAAAUUUUGUAAAGUGUGUUUGUAGUAGAACUAUUUUAUGAAUUCUCCGUAAUUACAUAGCUUGAAAUAAUUACAACUGUAUUAAAAAUUGAAAUGUUGUGUUCUUUCGCACGAGGAAUUCAUUAUUCACGGACAAUAGCGCGAUAGUAAGUUGUCAUUAAGGAAAUACGAGGUAGUAAAUUUCAUUAGGUACAGGUCGAUCGUCAGAUUUAAUCCUGUGACACCACUCCACUCUAAAAAGCGAAAACAAGGUCAGCCAAGAUCUCAUAUUUUUAGUCCGGAAGUAUGACUUUUAUCCGUGUUAGCGCAGCAAACUACAUAUUGCUUGAAAGCGACCUGCACCUUUUUAAAAUAACCGCUUAUAUAGAGUUAAAAAAAUCUUAUACGAGGUCUAACCGAAUAACGCGUAAAAGCCAGCACGACGCAAUUUCUUGUGAAAAAAAUAAGAAAAAAUCAUAGAAUAAAGUUUUUUCAUUCUUGGGUUAGUUUUCGACAAUAUCUAGUUUGAAAAUUUAUCAACUAUACCUGCACGUGGCUAAUGGCGGACUGAGCAGAUUAAAUAAUAGACAGGAGGUUAAUUGUACGUGUGAAAACAAGUGGAAAAUGUAAAAUAACAUUUUUCCAUUUAAGACUCCAUUUUCAAGAAAAUAGAAUUUGAACACGUUUAAUUAAGAAUUGGCUUAGUACAUGCGUAUGAUAAAUUUUCAAAUCUAUUUUUCUCGGAAAUAAAAUGUUUUUUAUGAAAAUAUUUUAUUUUACAUCUAUACUUUCACACGUAGAAUCACCUCUUGUCAAUUAUUUGGUCCUGUCCAGUCCAGAAUUAAUUAUAUUCAAGUAUAUUUGAUAAAUUUUCAAACUUGAUUUUCUCGGAAACUGCCAAAAAUGAAAAAAUUUGAUUCUAUAUCUUUUCCUUAUUUCUACACAAGGAACACGUCACACCCGCUUUUACAUGUUAUUCGAUUAGACUGUAUAAAUAUACAAUAUAUAAUAUAUAUAUAUAAAAUAUAAAGUAAAUACUUUCCACUCGCAAUGCCGUCUUAGCGGUAUACACAGUUUUAUAUCCUUGUUUUUUUCUAAAUAACACUUCUAUCUAUUUUAUCGUAAGUUUGAUAGUAAAAUAUAAAUUAUACGAAAAAAUAAAAUAUAUCCGAUAUUGUCGAAUACAAGGUAGAAAUAAAAUAAAAUUUAUCGCGAUGAACAGAAACGAGUAUUUGACAUGUGGUUUAACGAAUGUUCCAUCAUCGACCACCACAAAACACUCGGAUCACUUUACGACGGGAACCUAAAUAGAGAUUUUAUCGGAAUUUUUGUUAGAAGGUGUACAGGGGUAGCCACGUUCACUCCACAAAGUCGAACUCUUCCACUAUUCUACGUUGUUUAUUAACCCCUAUACGGAAGGACCAGCAACUUACACCGGCUUCUGUGUCUGUUUUUUCCCCGGGAAUCCGAGUUUCGCCCCUUUCCCUUGAACUCGGUUUGUUCCCUUGUCUCGUUUGUCCUCAAUUUCGCCCUUCCACCGAAGACAAAAUCGCGGGAGCGGGAACGGAAUCGCGCGCAAAAUUGCUUCCGAUUGCAUUAAUUAUCGGUUGUGAUCGCAGCAAUCGACCGCUUGCUUAUUGAAUUAGGCGCGAUUAUUAUCGAUUCUUUUCUCCGCAACUGUAAACGCGCAUUUCUCAAUAGUCCAUAGGGCUCAAUGGAAUAAACGAAUGAAGAUCAUCGUUCGAGGCGAAGAAAGAAGAGAGUUUCGUUUUCAGGUAUCAAUUUGGAGGAAGUGCGGAUCCGAGAAACGUGUUUGGAGAUAUUUUCUUACAAAGGAUGUUUUAAAAGCUUUUUAGUAGAAAGAAUGUUUUAUUCAUAUUUUAUGCUUCUAUUUAUAGAUGGUUACUACGAUCGAUUUUUGGUGACAUUUUUCAUCAAAUAUACCGUACAGUGUGUUGUUCGGGAAUUUUCUUAGGACUAAAUUUUUAUUUUUUCGAGUGAUAAAUGAAUAUAAGGUUGCAUAAUUUUUAAUUUCAAUAUUGUAAUAAAAAUCUGAAUUAAAAAUUCUGGACAAUAA